UGGGUCCACAGGCGAGAUAAA
rnacentral:misc_RNA from 1 species